rnacentral:rRNA from 1 species
UACGUAGGGGGCAAGCGUUGUCCGGAAUUAUUGGGCGUAAAGAGCGUGUAGGCGGUCCGGUAAGUCAGCUGUGAAAGUCAAGGGCUCAACCCUUGAAUGCCGGUUGAUACUGUCGGGCUAGAGUCCGGAAGAGGCGAGUGGAAUUCCUGGUGUAGCGGUGAAAUGCGCAGAUAUCAGGAGGAACACCGAUGGCGAAGGCAGCUCGCUGGGACGGUACUGACGCUGAGACGCGAAAGCGUGGGGAGCAAACAGG